GAUGAACGCUGACAGAAUGCUUAACACAUGCAAGUCAACUUGAACUUCGGUUUGGGUGGCGGACGGGUGAGUAACGCGUAAAGAACUUGCCUCACAGAUAGGGACAACAUUUGGAAACGAAUGCUAAUACCUGAUAUUAUGAUUUUAGGGCAUCCUAGGAUUAUGAAAGCUAUAUGCGCUGUGAGAGAGCUUUGCGUCCCAUUAGCUAGUUGGAGAGGUAACGGCUCACCAAGGCGAUGAUGGGUAGCCGGCCUGAGAGGGUGAUCGGCCACAAGGGGAUGGAGCCACGCCCCUAACUCCUAGGGGAGGAAGCAGGGGGGAAUAUAGGAAAAGGGACCAAGGGUCGUAUCCAGAAUUUCUGUGUGAACAAAAAAUUUUUUGGGAAUAAAAAGGGUUUUCGGUGGAAAAAAAAAAAAGGACGGUCCAAACAAAAGAGGUGACGGCAAAAUACGUG
rnacentral:rRNA from 1 species